GGCGGCAUGGCCGAGUGGUUAGGCUACGGUCUGCAAAACCGUUUACCCCAGUUCGAAUCUGGGUGCCGCCU
rnacentral:tRNA from 1 species